UGCACCUGCAGAAGUCGGCCUUUCCUUUUGUGUCACCUCUGACUCAUGGAUGUUGUAUAUGGCACUACAGAACUAAAAAUCAAACUUGGCAUCAUAGAAAAAUCAUUUUUUAAAAAAAAGAUUUAUUUAGAUGGGCAUGGUGGCACAUGCCUUUAAUCCCAGCACUUGGGAGGCAGAGGCAGGUGAAUUUCUGAGUUCGAGGCUAACCUGGUCUACAGAGUGAGUUCCAGGACAGCCAGGGCUACACAGAGAAACCCUGUCUCGUAAAACCAAAAAAAAAAAAAAAAAAAAAAAAGAUUUAUUUAUUUAAUGUAUAUGAGCACACUGUAGCUGACACACCAGAAGAGGGUACUGGAUCCAAUUACAGAUGGUCAUGAGCCACCAUGUGGUUGCUGGGAAUUGAACUCAUGACCUCUGGAAGAGCAGUCAGUGAGUGCUCUUAACCCCUGAGCCAUCUCUCCACCCCCCACCAAAGUCUUUUAUAGUCUCACCAAGGAGACAAGGUUGUGUGAGGCGCCGCAUGGGUGGGGUGAGUGGCAUCUGCUCCCAUGUCCAUGGACAGAGAAGAAAAGUAUGCUUGUUCUGAACUGUGGCGCUCUCUUCCCCCACUCCUAACAGUUCUUGGCUCUUGGGUUCCAGGAGUAUAUCUGACCCUACACUUUGGGUCUCUAAGUCUGACUGCCUUGGCGCUCUCUGAUGAGGUUUGGCUCCAUUCCUUAGGCAGUUAGCUCACUGCAGAACACAGCCAUCUCCAUACUCCUGGGGAGAGGAAGUUUCAGUCGCUGCUGCUGGUGGCUCUGCUGUUCCUUCUCUCAGCUGGUUCAAGAGGUCUCUGCUCUCACUGGGGGGCAAGUUACUCAGGAAGUAUGGAGGGGCGAGCUCCACCAGCCUGACAGAGAAAGUCAGGAUGGGAUCAUCUGUGCCUUCCCCUGCCCCUCACUCCCCGCCCUGCUUCCACCAACCCUCUUCCUACAUCUCACUCCCCAGUUUGGUUCCUGGCCCUGGGAGAAGAAGGGCCCUGUAUGAGUGAGGGAAACUCACAUCUCAGGCUGGAUCUCAGAGACAAUGCAAAGGCAGUUGUCUUUCGAGAUGGAGAAGCUGUGGUACAGCACCCACGUGGGUGGCUGGGCUGGAGUCCUGCGGUUUCGGUAGCUGCAGUAUGGAGACAGCUGGGCUACGUGUUUAUGGGUGAGAAGCAGAUAAUUUCCUGUCCCAUCUGUGUCUCGGGCCACCUCAUUGAAACACAAAAACAUGGGUGGAAUAAGUAAAAUAAGCAAUGGAGCACAGAAAAUAAAGAAGGCCAAGGUUGGGCGUGGCAGGAAUCCCAGCAUCUGGGAGCCAGAGGAGCAGAAGUUAGAGGCCAGCCUGAGGUAUUUAGAGAGUCUGAAGCCAGCUUGGACAACAUGAGACCUUGUCUCAUUGUUUGCUGCCUUUAAAAAGAAAGAAGGAAAGAGAAGGGGCUGCGAAAGGAGUAAGAGUAUUGUAAAGCCGGAAAGUCGAUCUAAUUAGGUCUGCUCCUGCUUCACCAUAGGACAUAUUCCAUGGCCCCUUGUCCUCCAAACCCUCAGACCCCUAUUCUAAGAGAUCAUAUGACACACACACACACACACACACACACACACACACACACACACAGAGAGAGAGAGAGAGAGAGACAGAGAGAGAAAAUGAAUAUCGUCAGGUGGCAAUCUUGGGUGUCAUUCCUCAGGUGCCAUCCACCUGUUUUUGGGGACAGAACCUGGAACCUGCCAUUAAGCUAGGCUGGCUAGAGAGUCCCAGGGACCCAAGUGUCUCUGCCUGCCCAGUGCUAGGACUACAUGUGAACCCAGGGUUCUGGGGAUUGAAUUCUGUCCUUGAGAUGGAGGCAGGUGUUUUACCCACUCAGCUCGUCCCCCAACUCCUCUCUCCCUGCCUUGUUUUUUUUUUUUUAAUUAAAAAAAAAGAUUUAUUU
rnacentral:lncRNA from 1 species